UACGUAGGGUGCAGGCGUUAAUCGGAAUUACUGGGCGUAAAGCGUGCGCAGGCGGUUUUGUAAGCCAGAUGUGAAAUCCCCGGGCUCAACCUGGGAAUGGCCGUUGAAACUGGCGAACUGGAGUGUGGCAGAGGGGGGUGGAAUUCCGCGUGUAGCAGUGAAAUGCGUAGAGAUGCGGAGGAACACCGAUGGCGAAGGCAGCCCCCUGGGCUGACACUGACGCUCAGGCACGAAAGCGUGGGGAGCAAACAGG
rnacentral:rRNA from 1 species